UACGUAGGGUGCGAGCGUUGUCCGGAAUUACUGGGCGUAAAGAGCUCGUAGGUGGUUUGUCGCGUUGUUCGUGAAAACCUGAGGCUUAACCUUGGGCGUGCGGGCGAUACGGGCAGACUGGAGUACUGCAGGGGAGACUGGAAUUCCCGGUGUAGCGGUGAAAUGUGUAGAGAUCGGGAGGAACACCGGUGGCGAAGGCGGGUCUCUGGGCAAUUCCUGACGCUGAGGCGCGAAAGCGUGGGGAGCAAACGGG
rnacentral:rRNA from 1 species